UUCAUUGUCUUUUAUCGUGAUUUUCAAUUUUUCGUUUGCAAUUUUUUUUUAUAUAUUUUCUUGUGUUACUUAACUGAAUUAUUUCUUUUCUUUGCAGGAACUUUUGGUUAUUUCCACCCUUGAAGUUGAUUGCAGAAUUUUAGCUUGGGGGUCAUCGCUUGAUUUUACUGCAAAUUAGGGAAGUUUUCAGUCCACUUGUUUUAUUUUGUUUCUUAUUAUUUAUUUAUUUUAUUUUUAUUUGCAUUAUAGUGUUUUCUGACAUUGGGGACAAUGUCCAGUUUAAGUUUGGGGGUAAAGAGUAUAAAAAAAUGACCAACUUGAAAUUUUUUGUACCUUCGACUACAAACUGGUUUCAUUUGUUUCUGUGUUGUUGCUUUUUGUUUUCUUAAUUAGUUUUGUUUUCUGUGAAAAAAAAAAAAAAUCGGAAAAUUUAAAAAUCCAAAAAAAUUUGUCUUGUUUUCCUUAUUGUUUUGAAUUAGAUUUUUGUUAGUUUCCCGACCCAAUGAUAUAAUUGGAUCAAAUUUGAAUCAUGAUUAUCAAGAACUU
rnacentral:lncRNA from 1 species